UGGGGCGUAGCCAAGUGGUAAGGCACCGGGUUUUGGUCCCGGCACUCGGGGGUUCGAAUCCCUCCGCCCCAGCCA
rnacentral:tRNA from 2 species